rnacentral:rRNA from 1 species
UUGGAGGGCAAGUCUGGUGCCAGCAGCCGCGGUAAUUCCAGCUCCAAUAGCGUAUAUUAAAGUUGUUGCAGUUAAAAAGCUCGUAGUUGAAUUUCGGGGUCAGUAGGUUGGUUAUGCCACUGGUAUGUACUGGUCUCACUGAUUCCUCCUUCCUGAUGAACUGUAAUGCCAUUAAUUUGGUGUUGCAGGGAAUCUGGACUGUUACUUUGAAAAAAUUAGAGUGUUUAAAGCAGGCUAACGCCUGAAUACAUUAGCAUGGAAUAAUGAAAUAGGACGUUCGAUCCUAUUUUGUUGGUUUCUAGGAUUGACGUAAUGAUUAAUAGGGAUAGUUGGGGGCAUUAGUAUUCAAUUGUCAGAGGUGAAAUUCUUGGAUUUAUUGAAGACUAACUACUGCGAAAGCAUUUGCCAAGGAUGUUUUCAUUAAUCAAGAACGAAAGUUAGGGGAUCGAAGACGAUCAGAUACCGUCGUAGUCUUAACCAUAAACUAUGCCGACUAGGGAUCGGAUGAUGUUAAUUUUUUAAUAACUCAUUCGGCGCCUUACGGGAAAC